ACUUUCAGCUUUGUUGAUGGUAGUUUUCUGGGAAUCUGCUGGUUCUCAAAAACUCUAGAUUUAUUUCCUCCAGAACGAAACCCUUAUUCUCUUCAUUUAGGAGACAAUGAAGUCAACCCAGAGAAUAAAAAUACUCUAUACUUUUAAGGCAGAAUUUUACAUCUGUCUUGGCUUUGGAAGCAACCUGAAGGCAUUUAUUUGUCUCCUCAUUAGUGUCUUCCUCAAGUGAUAUGAACGCUUAUUUGACAGUGUUGUGGGGUGAGGCAGAAGGCUUUUCAACUUCACAACCUUGAGAGGGAAAUAUGAAGGAAUGUCAGCAGAUGAACGUGUUGCAGAUUGCCUUGCAUUUCACUCUGACCUUCAUUACACACACUAACUGGACGGCUGCCCUGCACCCACGGCUACCAGUCUCAGUAUGGUUGGGUUUCCAUAAUUGCUAUCUCUUAAAAACCACUGUUUCCCUCUAAGGCAGUCUUCCUCCAAGCGUCUCAUUAACCUUCUCCACUUUCUAUCACAAUUUGUGGCACUUAGCACAGUCACUGGACAUUUACAAAACUAUUCAUUUUAUGGUAACCAUCUUCUUUGGCCUGGGAGUUGUGUUAUGUUAUAGAGCAGGGAAUUUGGCUUAUUCAUAAUUCCUGCAAAUUAACAAUGGGAGAGUAUAGCCAUAAAGAAGAUAGCAAAGCAGCACUUUUUAUUUUUCAGGAGCGAUAUUGGAGACUGACAUCUUUCUGUUUCAGUAUCUUGAUGGAUCAGAAGACUAAAAGUCAUCAGGGUUAAAGCAGGAGUUAAGGGC
rnacentral:lncRNA from 1 species